rnacentral:lncRNA from 1 species
AGCUCAGUGUCACAGACCUUUGUGGAAGCAACAACAGCUCCCAUCCUUCCAACCUUUCUGGAGAAGCCGUGGCCUGAUGGUGAGCCGAAUGGGCUGGGGGGGGAGAAGAAGGCGGCUGGGGCGGUGGGGAGAUCUGGGGCCCGGAUCGGUGCCCCUCCUCCCCAUGCCACUGCCACCUCCUCCUCCUCCUUCAUGCCGGGGACCUGGGGGAGGGAGGAUCUCCAUCUUCUCUCUGUCCCCUGCCCCUCAUACAAGAAGCUCCCCCUCCUCAUUUUCCCCUCCCACCGCAGGGCCCCCUUGCUCAGUGCUACAGGGGACAGGGGCUUCUCAGUCUUGCCACAGUGCUCUCCCUAUCCCAGCCACCCCCCCAACACAGGCUCAACCUGCAAUGACACCUGCCUCUGCAUCUCCCUCCUGGGGAUCCCACUCCACCCCACCCCUGGCCCCGGCAACCCCCACUCCCUCACAGCAGUGCCCCCAGGACUCUCCUGGGCUGCGGGUAGGCCCUUUGAUCCCUGAACAGGAUUAUGAGCGGCUGGAGGACUGUGACCCUGAGGGGUCCCAAGACUCACCCAUCCACGGGGAGGAGCAGCAACCCCUGCUUCAUGUCCCUGAAGGGCUCCGAGGCUCCUGGCAUCACAUCCAGAACCUGGACAGUUUCUUCACCAAGAUCUACAGCUACCACCAGCGGAAUGGCUUUGCCUGCAUCUUGCUGGAGGAUGUCUUCCAGCUGGGACAAUUUAUUUUCAUUGUCACCUUCACAACCUUCCUCCUUCGAUGCGUGGAUUACAAUGUUCUCUUUGCCAACCAACCAAGUAACCAUACCAGACCUGGGCCGUUCCACAGCAAAGUGACCCUGUCAGAUGCCAUCCUACCCUCAGCCCAGUGUGCUGAGAGGAUCCGCUCCAGCCCGCUGCUGGUCCUCCUCCUGGUCCUGGCUGCCGGCUUCUGGCUGGUCCAACUGCUUCGCUCAGUCUGCAACCUCUUCAGCUACUGGGACAUCCAGGUGUUUUACAGGGAGGCCCUGCACAUCCCCCCGGGGAAGGGAAGGGAAGACACUGGGAUGUACUGGAGAGGCCAGCCUGGGGGACUUGACUAACCUGGACUGGGAAAGCUGAGUGAAACUGGGCUGAAGUGAGGUUUGCAGCCUUCAAAUGAGAUCUGACAGUGCCCCACUGCCAGAUGUGGACAUAGCCCAGGUCCUGGGAAGGCUUCUGGUGACAGAGCCGAAGAUGGCCUGGAGUCGGGUGGGGCUGGGAGUGUAAAGCAUGCCCAGGCAGAAGGUGGGGAGGAUUCUGUUCCAGAGUUGGUGGGUGCACUAGAAAUGGGAAGGAGAGAUUCUCCCACGAACUGCCAGACAUUCUGGUUUUUUGUUUUUUUGUUUGUUUUGUUUCUUUUGAGACAGGGUCUGGGUCUUUCACCCAGGCUGGAGUGCAGUGCUGUGAUAUUGGCUCACUGCAGCCUCUGCUCCCCAGUAGCUGCAACCACAGGUGCACACCACCACGCCCUGCUAUUUUUUGUAUUUUUAGUAGAGACAGUGUCUCACCAUG